AGAAAUCACAACUAGAUGCCAACGGACAACUAGGAAAAACUCAACGUUUAUCGAGACCAACAGAGAGGUAACCAGACAUUAAUGAAUGACUGGAAGAGAUACAACCACAUGUCAGCGGACAUAAUGGGAAAAACUCAUCGUUUACCAAAACCAACGGAGAUGUAACUCUACUGGGGACGGCCAGGAAAAACUCGACGUUUACCAAGACCAACUGAGAGGUGACCAGAC
rnacentral:lncRNA from 1 species